rnacentral:rRNA from 1 species
UACGGAGGGGGCUAGCGUUGUUCGGAAUUACUGGGCGUAAAGCGUACGUAGGCGGCUUUGUAAGUUAGAGGUGAAAGCCCGGGGCUCAACCCCGGAAUUGCCUUUAAGACUGCAUAGCUAGAAUCAUGGAGAGGUGAGUGGAAAUUCCGAGUGUAGAGGUGAAAUUCGUAGAUAUUCGGAAGAACACCAGUGGCGAAGGCGACUCACUGGACAUGUAUUGACGCUGAGGUACGAAAGCGUGGGGAGCAAACAGG